rnacentral:piRNA from 1 species
UUGCCAAACACACUUAAAAAGGACAUCUGU